rnacentral:misc_RNA from 1 species
GUGAAUCAUCAAAUUUUUGAACGCAAAUUGCGCCUUUUUCGGAAGGCAUGUCUGUUUGAGGGCACCAUUUAACAAAUAAUGUGCAUUUCUGGUGCACACGUUGAUUAGCUGUCAAAAAUGAUAUAUUAUUAUUUUGGGUGGCGCAUAAUAAAAAGCUCGAUUCUUUUUUUCAGUUCGGUUUUAAUAAAUUAUUUUCUUGCUUGGGGUGUGGAUAUCUUUAUCGCGCAAUGGUUGUGUCGAUUCUACUAAAC